UACGGUUGGAGCAAGCGUUGUUCGGAUUUACUGGGCGUAAAGGGCGCGUAGGCGGUCGUGCCAAGUCACUUGUGAAAUCUCCGGGCUUAACCCAGAACGGUCAGCUGAUACUGCGGGGCUAGAGUGCAGAAGGGGCAACUGGAAUUCUCGGUGUAGCGGUGAAAUGCGUAGAUAUCGAGAGGAACACCUGCGGCGAAGGCGGGUUGCUGGGCUGACACUGACGCUGACAGCGCGAAAGCUAGGGGAGCGAACGGG
rnacentral:rRNA from 1 species